UACCUCAGUGUGAAAUCAUGUAUCCUUUAGUUGAUUGAUGUCUGAAAGUCUGUAGUGACUGUGAAAACCAGGAGGGCUGGAACUCACACACUAGAUGGAUUUAAAGGAGAGACAAUAAAGUAAUGGGAUCAGAACUGAUAGACAGGUGAAGCUCAGAGACUCCUUUUCCCUUCACUACACUCGCAAACACUAAGGAAUAAAGAUGAAGAUUCUGUUCCUGUCUCUGGUUUUUGCUGUGAUGCUGAUGAGCGGUUCUGCUCUGCAAUGCAACUGGUGUAUCCCAUAUGUGCGUGAAAAAUGUAACCCCGUUCCUGUAGCGUGCAACGCCGGCGAAGUCUGUGGCCAUUAUGAAGUUCGUUCUUAUCACCCUGUAGCUGUACUCGUGAGGAAACGAUGCAUGCCACCCAAGAAAUGCCACGAAAGUUUUAUCUACAACGUCAAGUGCUGUCAGACGGACUUCUGCAAUUAGGAGAGAACCAUGGACAAGUCUGACCUAAAGGAAGAUCAUCUCACUCUACACUUUUGUUGCUUUUGUUUUUAAAUCAUGUAUUCAGCAACAGCAGGAGGAUAUUUAAUUAGUUUUGUCUGAGCAUCUUUUUCAUCAAAUCAUGUGGUGAAAAAAAUAA